GUGUGAUUCGUCACACUAUCAUUAACUGAAUCCAUAGGUUAAUGAGGCGAACCGGGGGAACUGAAACAUCUAAGUACCCCGAGGAAAAGAAAUCAACCGAGAUUCCCCCAGUAGCGGCGAGCGAACGGGGAGGAGCCCAGAGCCUGAAUCAGCAUGUGUGUUAGUGGAAGCGUCUGGAAAGGCGCGCGAUACAGGGUGACAGCCCCGUACACAAAAGCGCAUGUGCUGUGAGCUCGAUGAGUAGGGCGGGACACGUGGUAUCCUGUCUGAAUAUGGGGGGACCAUCCUCCAAGGCUAAAUACUCCUGACUGACCGAUAGUGAACCAGUACCGUGAGGGAAAGGCGAAAAGAACCCCGGCGAGGGGAGUGAAAAAGAACCUGAAACCGUGUACGUACAAGCAGUGGGAGCACCCUUCGGGGUGUGACUGCGUACCUUUUGUAUAAUGGGUCAGCGACUUAUAUUCUGUAGCAAGGUUAACCGUAUAGGGGAGCCGGAGGGAAACCGAGUCUUAAUUGGGCGUUAAGUUGCAGGGUAUAGACCCGAAACCCGGUGAUCUAGCCAUGGGCAGGUUGAAGGUUGGGUAACACUAACUGGAGGACCGAACCGACUAAUGUUGAAAAAUUAGCGGAUGACCUGUGGCUGGGGGUGAAAGGCCAAUCAAACCGGGAGAUAGCUGGUUCUCCCCGAAAGCUAUUUAGGUAGCGCCUCGUGAAUUCAUCUCCGGGGGUAGAGCACUGUUUCGGCUAGGGGGCCAUCCCGGCUUACCAACCCGAUGCAAACUGCGAAUACCGGAGAAUGUUAUCACGGGAGACACACGGCGGGUGCUAACGUCCGUCGUGAAGAGGGAAACAACCCAGACCGCCAGCUAAGGUCCCAAAGUCAUGGUUAAGUGGGAAACGAUGUGGGAAGGCCCAGACAGCCAGGAUGUUGGCUUAGAAGCAGCCAUCAUUUAAAGAAAGCGUAAUAGCUCACUGGUCGAGUCGGCCUGCGCGGAAGAUGUAACGGGGCUAAACCAUGCACCGAAGCUGCGGCAGCGAACGUAUCACCCAAGACAACUUUACGGAGUUGACGAUUGACGGAGCGAAGCGACGUCAAAGCGUUCAUUAAAGUCGAGUUGGCUUAGGGAUACGUUCGUUGGGUAGGGGAGCGUUCUGUAAGCCUGUGAAGGUGUGUCGUGAGGCAUGCUGGAGGUAUCAGAAGUGCGAAUGCUGACAUAAGUAACGAUAAAGCGGGUGAAAAGCCCGCUCGCCGGAAGACCAAGGGUUCCUGUCCAACGUUAAUCGGGGCAGGGUGAGUCGACCCCUAAGGCGAGGCCGAAAGGCGUAGUCGAUGGGAAACGGGUUAAUAUUCCCGUACUUGGUGUUACUGCGAAGGGGGGACGGAGAAGGCUAUGUUGGCCGGGCGACGGUUGUCCCGGUUUAAGCGUGUAGGUGUGUGUUCCAGGUAAAUCCGGUUCACUUUAACACUGAGGCGUGACGACGAGGCACUACGGUGCUGAAGCAACAAAUGCCCUGCUUCCAGGAAAAGCCUCUAAGCAUCAGGUAACAUCAAAUCGUACCCCAAACCGACACAGGUGGUCAGGUAGAGAAUACCAAGGCGCUUGAGAGAACUCGGGUGAAGGAACUAGGCAAAAUGGUGCCGUAACUUCGGGAGAAGGCACGCUGACACGUAGGUGAAGUGAUUUACUCAUGGAGCUGAAGUCAGUCGAAGAUACCAGCUGGCUGCAACUGUUUAUUAAAAACACAGCACUGUGCAAACACGAAAGUGGACGUAUACGGUGUGACGCCUGCCCGGUGCCGGAAGGUUAAUUGAUGGGGUCAGCGCAAGCGAAGCUCCUGAUCGAAGCCCCGGUAAACGGCGGCCGUAACUAUAACGGUCCUAAGGUAGCGAAAUUCCUUGUCGGGUAAGUUCCGACCUGCACGAAUGGCGUAAUGAUGGCCAGGCUGUCUCCACCCGAGACUCAGUGAAAUUGAACUCGCUGUGAAGAUGCAGUGUACCCGCGGCAAGACGGAAAGACCCCGUGAACCUUUACUAUAGCUUGACACUGAACAUUGAGCCUUGAUGUGUAGGAUAGGUGGGAGGCUUUGAAGUGUGGACGCCAGUCUGCAUGGAGCCGACCUUGAAAUACCACCCUUUAAUGUUUGAUGUUCUAACGUGGACCCGUAAUCCGGGUUGCGGACAGUGUCUGGUGGGUAGUUUGACUGGGGCGGUCUCCUCCUAAAGAGUAACGGAGGAGCACGAAGGUUGGCUAAUCCUGGUCGGACAUCAGGAGGUUAGUGCAAUGGCAUAAGCCAGCUUGACUGCGAGCGUGACGGCGCGAGCAGGUGCGAAAGCAGGUCAUAGUGAUCCGGUGGUUCUGAAUGGAAGGGCCAUCGCUCAACGGAUAAAAGGUACUCCGGGGAUAACAGGCUGAUACCGCCCAAGAGUUCAUAUCGACGGCGGUGUUUGGCACCUCGAUGUCGGCUCAUCACAUCCUGGGGCUGAAGUAGGUCCCAAGGGUAUGGCUGUUCGCCAUUUAAAGUGGUACGCGAGCUGGGUUUAGAACGUCGUGAGACAGUUCGGUCCCUAUCUGCCGUGGGCGCUGGAGAACUGAGGGGGGCUGCUCCUAGUACGAGAGGACCGGAGUGGACGCAUCACUGGUGUUCGGGUUGUCAUGCCAAUGGCACUGCCCGGUAGCUAAAUGCGGAAGAGAUAAGUGCUGAAAGCAUCUAAGCACGAAACUUGCCCCGAGAUGAGUUCUCCCUGAGACUUAGAGUCUCCUGAAGGAACGUUGAAGACGACGACGUUGAUAGGCCGGGUGUGUAAGCGCAGCGAUGCGUUGAGCUAACCGGUACUAAUGAACCGUGAGGCUUAACCUUACA
rnacentral:rRNA from 1 species